CGCGGCCUAUCAGCUUGUUGGUGAGGUAACGGCUCACCAAGGCAUCGACGGGUAGCUGGUUUGAGAGAACGAUCAGCCACACUGGAACUGAGACACGGUCCAGACUCCUACGGGAGGCAGCAGUGGGGAAUCUUGCACAAUGGGCGAAAGCCUGAUGCAGCGACGCCGCGUGGGGGAUGAAGGCCUUAGGGUCGUAAACCCCUUUCAGUAGGGAAGAAAAUGACGGUACCUACAGAAGAAGCUCCGGCCAACUACGUGCCAGCAGCCGCGGUAAGACGUAGGGGGCGAGCGUUGUCCGGAUUUAUUGGGCGUAAAGGGCUCGUAGGCGGUUACGUAAGUCGGAUGUGAAAACUCGAGGCUCAACUUCGAGACGCCAUCCGAUACUGCGUUGACUUGAGUCCGGUAGAGGAGUGUGGAAUUCCUAGUGUAGCGGUGAAAUGCGCAGAUAUUAGGAGGAACACCUAUUGCGAAGGCAGCACUCUGGGCCGGUACUGACGCUGAGGAGCGAGAGCAUGGGUACCAAACAGGAUUAGAUACCCUGGUAGUCCAUGCCGUAAACGGUGGGCACUAGAUGUGGGGACUUUCAACGGUUUCCGUGUCGUAGCUAACGCAUUAAGUGCCCCGCCUGGGGAGUACGG
rnacentral:rRNA from 1 species